GGCGCAAGACGCACGCAGACAAUGCACGAGGAGAUUGCGGAGAAUCGGAAGGUGAGGCUUUCCCAGCGAAAAGUCGCAGCCAGUUUCCUUUAGGGAGAGCACCGGUUUAGGUGGAUGUGAGCAUUAUUAUGUUGAUUCAUGCUUUGCUCGUUAUCUACUUUUUCGUCAGCGAAGUGCAAUGCGGAAAGGGUAGCACUCAACUCAUGGAAAAUUCAAUAGUAAGAGAUGGCUGGAACUUUUUCGCACGUCGCUUGCAAUUCGUGAUGUUGAAGAGGACCUACAAUGUCACUGGGGGGCUCAACAACUCCAUGUGUAUGAUGGUUCCGUUUCCGCCCAAGAUAGAUAGGAUGCAACAUGUGCUGAAUGCGACGUUCACUUAUCGCAACUUGAGCUCCACGUAUAAGCUGCAUCCUGAAAAUACAGCAGACAACACUUCUUAUUGGCCCAUUGCAAUAUUUCAGUUGCAUUUCUAUGCGCGUAAUCUGAAAGGAGGAGCGAGCUUACGAAAGACAGGUUUGGACUUUGUGAAUCCAACGACCGUGAUGCGUGAAUACGGAUAUGCUCUUUCCCCACCAUUUUGGCGUAUCAUGUACUGCAACAACCACUGUGCCGUUGUUGACGUCCGCCAGUUGACGUUUACCACGACUUUUCUUUUCACGGCGUAUGACGUAUUUUAUGCUAAGAAGAACAUACGAUGUGGCAGGAGGGCUGGAGAAUUGCAUGUGCGUCAUGGCACCCUUUUACCCGUUCGUUGACAUGCAAAACCAUAGACUAAGCACGACCUUUACUUACCAGAAUAGAAGCUCCAACGAUGCACAACUCAAUCCAGGAUCUUCUCAAGAAGCUUUCAAAUGGCCUGCCGCGAAAAUACGUAUGCAGUUUUCCAAGGCACACAUGUCCAUUUCCAAAACUGCACGUGGCUUCAAUUAUGCAAAAUCAUGGAUCCGAACAAGACAGCAUGGAUAUUCACUUCCACCACCACAUUGGUACUUUUUGUACGCAGACAAAGACUGUGCAGUUGUCGGUGUGUACGACCAGACAAUCUUGACGAGCAGCCAUUCG
rnacentral:misc_RNA from 1 species